rnacentral:rRNA from 1 species
GAUGAACGCUGGCGGCGUGCCUAAUACAUGCAAGUCGAGCGAACAGAUGAGGAGCUUGCUCCUCUGACGUUAGCGGCGGACGGGUGAGUAACACGUGGAUAACCUACCUAUAAGACUGGGAUAACUUCGGGAAACCGGAGCUAAUACCGGAUAAUAUAUUGAACCGCAUGGUUCAAUAGUGAAAGACGGUUUUGCUGUCACUUAUAGAUGGAUCCGCGCCGCAUUAGCUAGUUGGUAAGGUAACGGCUUACCAAGGCAACGAUGCGUAGCCGACCUGAGAGGGUGAUCGGCCACACUGGAACUGAGACACGGCCCAGACGCCUCCGGGAGGAACCAGUAGGGUAUCUUCCGCAGUGGGCGAAAGCCUGACAGAGCAAUACCGCGUUUGUCAUGAAGGUGUCCGGUUCGUAAAACUCUGUUAUUAGGGAAGAACAAAUGUGUAAGUAAAUGUACACGUCUUGACGGUACCUAAUCAGAAAGCCACGGCUAACUACGUG